rnacentral:rRNA from 1 species
UACGUAGGGCGCAAGCGUUAUCCGGAAUUAUUGGGCGUAAAGAGCUCGUAGGCGGUUUGUCGCGUCUGCCGUGAAAGUCCGGGGCUCAACUCCGGAUCUGCGGUGGGUACGGGCAGACUAGAGUGAUGUAGGGGAGACUGGAAUUCAUGGUGUAGCAGUGAAAUGCGUAGAGAUCAUGAGGAAGACCAGUGGCGAAGGCGGGUCUCUGGACAGUUCCUGACACUGAGACACGAAGGCCAGGGGAGCAAACGGG